rnacentral:rRNA from 1 species
UACGAGUGCCCCAAGCGUUAUCCGGAAUUAUUGGGCGUAAAGGGUGAGUAGGUGGUCAUAUUAGUCUUGUGUUAAAGCCUUCGGCUCAACCGAAGAUCUGCAUAGGAAACGGUAUGACUAGAGUAUGUGAGAGGUACGUAGAACUCAUGGAGUAGGGGUGAAAUCCGUUGAUAUCAUGGGGAAUACCAAAAGCGUAGGCAGCGUACUGGCACAUUACUGACACUGAAUCACGAAAGCGUGGGUAGCGAAUGGG